rnacentral:tRNA from 1 species
AUUUAUCUAAUAUAUAAGUAUAUUUGGCUUCCAACCAAAAAGUCUGCCCACAGGAUAAAUA